AACAAACAACAAGGUUUUCAAAUAUUACAGUUCUAUUUGACAAAUCAAUCAAAAUUUCAGUGCAAACCCACACAAACCGUAUUUAAAAAAUUACACAAAAUUCCGGUAUGAGCAGUUAUAUCAAAGCAGGAUGGUGAAGCUGGUGCUUGGUGGAUAGCGUACGAUGGGCCUGGUGCGCGACGCGCUCUUUCUCCUGCUAACUACUCUACUCGCUGUAUCCUCUUUUGCCGCCGCCUGCACGAGGAAAGUUUACAUCGCCUGCAAGAAGCCUGCGCCCUGCGGGGAGUAACUAAGUAUGCCGCUGUUUGACCUCAGCCGCUUAGUAAUUCUGUCUUUGACCAUCCUCGCGCUGGUGUUGUCCGGAGCCCGCGGUUGCAAAAAGAGCGUCGCCUGCACAGGGCGCCCCCCUUGCCGACGCGGCCCCAUGGGGAAGUAACCUCGCUGAACAUGCUAGAAACCAUGGAUAAAUCUAAACUUGUUUGCAGAGUCUGUCCGACUUAUCUGCUGCGGAAAUAUGAAUAUUAUUAUGCAUUUAUUUCUUAAUCAGUAUUAAUGUUGACUCAAUUUCUUUGUAUAUACGUAAUAAAUCUCUAGAAAUAA